UUUAUGGAGAGUUUGAUCCUGGCUCAGGAUGAACGCUGGCGGCGUGCCUAAUACAUGCAAGUCGAGCGAACGGACGAGAAGCUUGCUUCUCUGAUGUUAGCGGCGGACGGGUGAGUAACACGUGGAUAACCUACCUAUAAGACUGGGAUAACUUCGGGAAACCGGAGCUAAUACCGGAUAAUAUUUUGAACCGCAUGGUUCAAAAGUGAAAGACGGUCUUGCUGUCACUUAUAGAUGGAUCCGCGCUGCAUUAGCUAGUUGGUAAGGUAACGGCUUACCAAGGCAACGAUGCAUAGCCGACCUGAGAGGGUGAUCGGCCACACUGGAACUGAGACACGGUCCAGACUCCUACGGGAGGCAGCAGUAGGGAAUCUUCCGCAAUGGGCGAAAGCCUGACGGAGCAACGCCGCGUGAGUGAUGAAGGUCUUCGGAUCGUAAAACUCUGUUAUUAGGGAAGAACAUAUGUGUAAGUAACUGUGCACAUCUUGACGGUACCUAAUCAGAAAGCCACGGCUAACUACGUGCCAGCAGCCGCGGUAAUAC
rnacentral:rRNA from 1 species